GCUUACGGCCAUACCAGCCUGNNUACGCCCGAUCUCGUCCGAUCUCGGAAGCUAAGCAGGGUCGGGCCUGGUUAGUGCUUGGAUGGGAGACCGCCUGGGAAUACCAGGUGCUGUAAGCUU
rnacentral:rRNA from 1 species